GAUGAACGCUAGCUACAGGCUUAACACAUGCAAGUCGAGCGACCGGCGCACGGGUGAUUAACACGUAUCCAACCUUCCCUUUACUCGGGGAUAGCCUUUCGAAAGACUGAUUCAUACCCGAUAUAAAGGAUGGGGAUGCGUUCCAUUAGGUUGUUGGUGAGGUAACGGCCCCCAAAGCCUUCGAUGGAGAGGGGUUCGGAGAGGAAGGUCCCCCACAUUAGAAGUGAGACACGGUCCAAACGCCUACGGGAGGCAGCAGUGAGGAAUAUUGGUCAAUGGGCGGUAGCCUGAACCAGCCAAGUAGCGUGAAGGAUGAAGGAUUAUGGGUCGUAAACUUCUUUUAUAUAAUAAUAGGUAGUAUAUGAAUAAGGAUCGGCUAACUCCGUGCCAGCAGCCGCGGUAAUAC
rnacentral:rRNA from 1 species